rnacentral:rRNA from 1 species
UCCACGCUGUAAACGAUGAUCACUCGUUGUUGGCGAUACACAGUCAGCGACUAAGCGAAAGUGAUAAGUGAUCCACCUGGGGAGUACGGUCGCAAGAUUGAAACUCAAAGGAAUUGACGGGGGCCCGCACAAGCGGUGGAGCAUGUGGUUUAAUUCGAUGAUACGCGAGGAACCUUACCUGGGCUCAAAUGUAAGUUGACAGAUUCUGAAAGGGAUUCUUCUUCGGACAAUUUACAAGGUGCUGCAUGGUUGUCGUCAGCUCGUGCCGUGAGGUGUCGGGUUAAGUCCCAUAACGAGCGCAACCCCUAUCAUUAGUUGCCAUCAGGUCAAGCUGGGGACUCUAAUGAAACUGCCUACGCAAGUAGUGAGGAAGGCGGGGAUGACGUCAAAUCAGCACGGCCCUUACGUCCAGGGCUACACACGUGCUACAAUGGCCAGUACAAAGGGCAGCUACCUGGUGACAGGAUGCUAAUCUCAAAAGCUGG